CCUUCCUCCGACUCAAGCCUAAUUAUAUGAAGCUUCUAAAUAUAAAAAUUUAAAGCAAGUAAAGAAAUUUAUUAAUACUGCUUGAUUUACCUACUGUGAUGGCUGUGAAAAACGAGCUCAAUUGAUUGUGCAGAUGUGGAUCCCAAAGAAUCUCAACUACUGUAUCACAGAUGACAUCUUGAAAGCUCUAAGGUUGCUGGCAAAGAAGCCUC
rnacentral:lncRNA from 1 species